GAUGAACGCUGGCGGCGUGCCUAAUACAUGCAAGUCGAGCGAACGGACGAGAAGCUUGCUUCUCUGAUGUUAGCGGCGGACGGGUGAGUAACACGUGGAUAACCUACCUAUAAGACUGGGAUAACUUCGGGAAACCGGAGCUAAUACCGGAUAAUAUUUUGAACCGCAUGGUUCAAAAGUGAAAGACGGUCUUGCUGUCACUUAUAGAUGGAUCCGCGCUGCAUUAGCUAGUUGGUAAGGUAACGGCUUACCAAGGCAACGAUGCAUAGCCGACCUGAGAGCAGGAGCGACAACACGGGAAGUGAGAAAGGGUCCAGACUCCUACGGGAGGCAGAGGUGGGGAGGAUUGGGCAAUGGGCGCAAGCCUAACCCAGCCAUACAGCGUGUGUGAUGAAGGACUUCGAGUGGUAAAACUCUUGUGGUAGUAAAGUAAAUAAGAAUGAUAAAAACCGCACAUGCUGACGGUACCCAAACAGAAAGGAACGGCGAACUACGUG
rnacentral:rRNA from 1 species